rnacentral:rRNA from 1 species
AGAAUCCUCGGGGGCAGCAGUGAGGAAUAUUGGUCAAUGGGAGAGAUCCUGAACCAGCCAAGCCGCGUGAGGGAAGACGGCCCUAUGGGUUGUAAACCUCUUUUGUCGGAGAACAAAACCCGGGACGAGUCCCGGACUGCGUGUAUCCGAAGAAAAAGCAUCGGCUAACUCCGUGCCAGCAGCCGCGGUAAUACGGAGGAUGCGAGCGUUGUCCGGGUUUAUUGGGUUUAAAGGGUGCGUAGGCGGUCCGUUAAGUCAGCGGUAAAAUUGCGGGGCUCAACCCCGUCGAGCCGUUGAAACUGGUU